AUCAUCCGGGUUAAUACCCUGGGUGGAUGACGGUACCGUAAGAAUAAGCACCGGCUAACUUCGUGCCAGCAGCCGCGGUAAUACGAAGGGUGCAAGCGUUAAUCGGAAUUACUGGGCGUAAAGCGUGCGUAGGUGGUUGGUCAAGUCUGUCGUGAAAGCCCUGGGCUCAACCUGGGAAUGGCGAUGGAAACUGGGCGACUGGAGUGCGGUAGAGGAUGGCGGAAUUCCCGGUGUAGCGGUGAAAUGCGUAGAGAUCGGGAGGAACAUCCGUGGCGAAGGCGGCCAUCUGGACCAGCACUGACACUGAGGCACGAAAGCGUGGGGAGCAAACAGGAUUAGAUACCCUGGUAGUCCACGGCCUAAACGAUGCGAACUGGAUGUUGGUCUCAACUUGGAGAUCAGUGUCGAAGCUAACGCGUUAAGUUCGCCGCCGGGGGAGUACGGUCGCAAGACUGAAACUCA
rnacentral:rRNA from 1 species